rnacentral:tRNA from 1 species
GGGGGUGUAGCUCAGUGGUAGAGCGCUGGCUUUGCAGGUGAGAAGUCCCGGGUUCUAACCCCGGCACCUCCA